rnacentral:rRNA from 1 species
GACGAACGCUGGCGGCGUGCCUAAUACAUGCAAGUCGAGCGCUGAAGGUUGGUACGUGUCUCAACUGGAUGAGCAGCGAACGGGUGAGUAACGCGUGGGGACUCUGCCUUUGAGCGGGGGACAACAUUUGGAGACGAAUGCUAAUAUCGCAUAAAAACGUUAAAGACAAGGUUUAAGGUUGAAAGAUGCAAUUGCAUAACCCAAAGAGGAUCCCGCGUUGUAUUAGCUAGUUGGUGAGGUAAAGGCCCACCAAGGCGAUGAUACAUAGCCGACCUGAGAGGGUGGUCCGCCCCCUUGGGACUGGGACACGGCCCCAGCCCCUUCGGGAGGCCGCCGUAGGGAAUCUUUGGCCAUGGACGGAAGUCUGACCCCGCCCCGCCGCCUUAGUGAAGAAAGUUUUCGGGUCGUAAAAGUCUGUUGGUAGAGGAGAACGUUCGUGAGGGUGGAACGCUCAUGAAGUGACGGUACCUACACAGAAAGCGACGGCUAACUACGUG